CAUAUUAGAGUUUGUGUUGAAUUUUUCCGUUACAUUGAAGAGGUCUCAAUUAUUUGGGUAGUAUGAUUGG
rnacentral:tRNA from 1 species